rnacentral:lncRNA from 1 species
AGGAUGUGCCAUUACAUUAUUGAUGUUUCCUGUUUCAUUGGCACUUCUGCAAAAGAUGCUAUAUCUCACUGGUUCUGUCACACUGCAGAGGGAGAGCCUUGUGAUACAUACCUACAGGUGAUCUGGCUAGUACCUGUGAGAUGAUAGAGUCACAGGCUCACAGCAGGGUGCUAUUAAUGGAGAUGAUGCUCUCUGUGUCCAGAACCUUCAAUUUAUUGCUCACUAUAAUUCACUUGGCUGUAGAUUUAUUGACAGGAGAAGAGGAAGCUGUUAAUAGAUUCUUUUAUUGGGACAAAAAAAGUUCCAGUACUCAUGAUGUCCCAGUCACUGGUGGAAUAGCAGAUGAAGUGUUUGGUGACAGUGAAGUGAGUAGCAUCAGUGGUAGCGGCACUUGAGGAAGAGGUGGGAAUACUAGCAGCUGUCAUUCAAGAGAUGAGUCAACACCCGACACUACUAAUGCUCAUGGCGGUAAUUGCUGGUCACCCUCAAGGAGGAACAUUGGUCUUGAUGAUUCUAUUAGUGAGAAGUGGGCUUAAGCUAGCAGCAACUGCUCAGAUGCCAAAGAAUAUAUUGAGAUGAUUUUUAGAGAUUUUUCUGACAAAUUGGCACAAUUUAAUUUAAGAAAGGAACAAAAACUAAGACAGGUUUUUCUUGAUCUUGCUGCUAGACACAUGGAGAAAAAACAAUGAGAAAAUGAAAUGUUUAUUGGGCAAUAACAAAAGGAGGAGGUGUAAGUGACAACAAGUGAAGAUUGUCUCCUUCAAGAAAUGAUAUGUGAAAUGACUAUUAUAAUUAUUAUAAUUAUUUCUAUUUAAUAUUUUUCAGUGUCAAAAUUGUAUGGUUUUAUAAUUCAUA